rnacentral:rRNA from 1 species
UAGGGAAUCUUCCGCAAUGGGCGAAAGCCUGACGGAGCAACGCUGCGUGAGUGAUGAAGGUCUUCGGAUCGUAAAACUCUGUUAUUAGGGAAGAACAAAUGUGUAAGUAACUAUGCACGUCUUGACGGUACCUAAUCAGAAAGCCACGGCUAACUACGUGCCAGCAGCCGCGGUAAUACGUAGGUGGCAAGCGUUAUCCGGAAUUAUUGGGCGUAAAGCGCGCGUAGGCGGUUUUUUAAGUCUGAUGUGAAAGCCCACGGCUCAACCGUGGAGGGUCAUUGGAAACUGUAAAACUUGAGUGCAGAAGAGGAAAGUGGAAUUCCAUGUGUAGCGGUGAAAUGCGCAGAGAUAUGGAGGAACACCAGUGGCGAAGGCGACUUUCUGGUCUGUAACUGACGCUGAUGUGCGAAAGCGUGGGGAUCAAACAGG